GAGCGGAGCAGAGCCGAGGUCGGGCCGCGAGCGGAGCCGGCCGAGCGGGCGCCGAGCUCCCGCCAUGGCCCGGAACACGCUGUCCUCGCGCUUCCGCCGGGUGGACAUCGACGAAUUUGACGAGAACAAAUUUGUGGACGAGCAGGAGGAGGCGGCGGCGGCGGCGGCGGAGCCAGGCCCGGACCCGAGCGAGGUGGACGGGCUCCUGCGGCAAGGGGACAUGCUUCGGGCAUUCCAUGCAGCCUUGCGGAACUCUCCCGUCAACACCAAGAAUCAAGCUGUGAAGGAGCGAGCCCAGGGCGUGGUGCUGAAAGUGCUCACAAACUUCAAGAGCAGUGAGAUUGAGCAGGCUGUGCAGUCACUGGACAGAAACGGCGUUGACUUGUUAAUGAAGUACAUUUAUAAAGGCUUUGAGAAGCCCACAGAAAAUAGCAGCGCAGUGUUACUCCAGUGGCACGAAAAGGCCUUAGCAGUAGGAGGACUAGGCUCCAUUAUAAGAGUUCUUACAGCAAGAAAGACUGUUUAAAAAAAAUAAAAAGACUCAUGUUACCUUGAGAAGAAUUCUGGAUGCCCAGGCUGGUGAAGAAGGGAUUGACAAUGGACCAUCUUCCUAGGAACUCCCAAGUAAACUAUUUCAGGACAUGUAUCUGCUGAAAUGUAUUUUAUUUUCAAGGUGGAGGGGAAAAUCGUCUGUUUCCUAAAUCCUGUUUAGGAUCUGAUAGUCUAUGCCUUUGUCUCCGAGUACUGCAGAACUGACAUUUUGACGGUCUACCAGCGUGGCGGCUGGUGUUGGUAAGAUGCACCUGUGCGCACUGGGGGAGGGAUGGUUUGGGCAGGUGCAGAUCCAAGGGCUGUGGUAAACAGGAGAGUUUGUGUUUUUGAAGUGGAAAAAAACCCAAGAGUUUGUACAGACAUCCUGUCUUCCCAGAGAAGGUGGACACUCUUGGGCUCAUUGUAAAGUGCCUGCUGCAUCAAUAAAGCUCUUGGCUUAUUAGUCUAUACAUUGCGGUGUGUUUCGUGUAUGUAAAAAAAAAACGGUAAUGAAUGGGAUGGUAAUGAAUGAGAGUUCAGUUGUUCCGGAAACCCGAUGUGGAAGGAGUAGACCUGUGUCCCUGUUGAGCCACCCCUGGGAGCGAGCAUGGCAAUCCACAGGCCCUCUGCCACAGGACGCCAGCCUCGGCCUCAGAGCUGCCGGCUGCUGCAGAGAGGUGUUUGCUGAAUAAACUAUUUAUUGUUUCUUACUCCUUUGAUUUGUAUGUAAUAAUUAAUUUUGGAGCUUAUUUAAUUUAAUAAAGUGCCAAACAUUUAAUAAUU